AAAUGAAUUGACGGGGGCCCGCACAAGCGGCGGAGCAUGCGGAUUAAUUCGAUGCAACGCGAAGAACCUUACCUGGGUUUGACAUACACCGGAAACAUCUAGAGAUAGGUGCCCUUUUGUCGGUGUACAGGUGGUGCAUGGCUGUCGUCAGCUCGUGUCGUGAGAUGUUGGGUUAAGUCCCGCAACGAGCGCAACCCUCGUCCUAUGUUGCCAGCGGGUUAUGCCGGGGACUCAUAGGAGACUGCCGGGGUCAACUCGGAGGAAGGUGGGGAUGACGUCAAGUCAUCAUGCCCCUUAUGUCCAGGGCUUCACGCAUGCUACAAUGGCCGGUACAAAGGGCUGCGAUCCCGUGAGGGGGAGCGAAUCCCAAAAAGCCGGUCUCAGUUCGGAUUGGGGUCUGCAACUCGACCCCAUGAAGUCGGAGUCGCUAGUAAUCGCAGAUCAGCAACGCUGCGGUGAAUACGUUCCCGGGCCUUGUACACACCGCCCGU
rnacentral:rRNA from 1 species